rnacentral:rRNA from 1 species
CCUGAAAGGCGCAAUGAAAGUGAAGGUCGGGCCGUCCCCCGCUCUCGGGCGGGGGCGGUCGACCGAGGCGGGAUCCGAAGGGCGUCCGUUUUUCCCGUUCCUCCUCGACCCCUCCCGGUUUGCCCCUCGCGGGUUUUGCUGGGUGGGGCGGAGGUUUCGGGGCGGCGCCNACNAAUCGGAAACGAAAAGCCGGGUCGGGGAAAUAUCCUCUCCUUCCCGCGGCGUCCUCUCCGGAGGCGUCGCGGGGUCGAGAAACUCCACUUCGCGGUGGAGCGGAAAACAAAACGAACGAGACCCCGCAACCCGGUCGGCGCACCGCCGGCCCGUCUCUACCGCUCAACGUCGGUGAGGCGGAGCAAGAGCGUACACGUUGGGACCCGAAAGAUGGUGAACUAUGCUCGGGCAGGACGAAGCCAGAGGAAACUCUGGUGGAGGUCCGUAGCGAUUCUGACGUGCAAAUCGAUCGUCGGACCUGAGUAUAGGGGCGAAAGACUAAUCGAACCGUCUAGUAGCUGGUUCCCUCCGAAGUUUCCCUCAGGAUAGCUGGCGCUCGGUGAGGAACGCAGUCUCAUCCGGUAAAGCGAAUGAUUANAGGCCUUGGGGCCGAAACGACCUCAACCUAUUCUCAAACUUUCAAUGGGUGAGAAGUCCGGCAUGCUCGACUGAAGCCCGGACGGCAGCCUCGCGAGAGGACUGCGCGUGAAAGCGAAAAACGAAAGACGAAAAAACAAAACCGAAAAAGAAAAAAGGCGAUUUGGAAACCGGGGCUGUUUGCGGUCGCGCGCGGCCCAACAGAAAAAAACCCGCA